ensembl:lncRNA
GUGAUUGUUAAUAUAACUGUGCAAUCUUUUUAUACCGUAUGUAGUAGUUAGGUCUGAGUAUGGCUAUAGAACUGUGAUUCGCUUUAACUGUUGUUGACAUCCAAAAUGGAAGUCCUGUGAAACUUCAUUAACUAGUGUAUGCAUACGUAUAUACGUUUUCUCGUACACACAUUAUAUGAUGGUUCUUUUUACACACACGCGCACACGCGCGCACCCACCUACGCAAACACAGUCUGACCCAAACACACAGAACAUAGGACACAGACUUGUGAGCUUGACUCUGAUACACACAGAACAGCUGUUUGUACCCACAAAGUGUAGGAUUCAUAUCCCCUCCCCAAAACAACCAAAGAGAUCACAUGUUCAACUUAAACCGCCAUCACAUCCCAAGACAACAGGUGAUACUGCGUGACGAACUAAGCCCGACGUCUGUGGGCUAUAAGGUGCAAAGUAGAUACAUUCGUGCUGUUGUGGUGACAAGGCAUAGGAGACAGUGAUGCAGAAACUAAUAGAACAUUAAAGCUACUGGAGACCUGUGGUUUAGUAAACGCAGCUCUUUCUCAGUCCUCACACAUGACGUUCUCCACAUGGCUACGGGGUUGUAAUAAAAUUGCCAGAACAUUGUGUGCUAGCUGGGUUCACCGUAUUUAUCCAGAUUUUUCCUGCAAAGCUUGAAGUAGAAUAAUGACCUGCUAAAAUGGUGGACAUAUUUUUGUAUCAAAAGGCUAUGGGGUUGCAAUUUGAACAGGGUGGGUGGGUUUCUGGGUGGGACGGGACGAGUUGGGUAGUUGUAAAUGCAAAUAAAUUUAAGUAUUGGCUGCUGAGUUUGGGGGUUGGUUUGGGGUUUGAUGGGUGGAGUUUGGGGCUAAGUUACACUGGUUUUAGCAGUUUUGUGGACAGUCCAGUGUGGAUUCUACAACAUUGCGAGUAGAUGUGUGUGUCGUCCCCUUUGAGUGGUGUGAUUGUACCUGCUGGCACCCCGCAGUCCUAUCUUGGUUGUAGUCGCAAAACUGUUUGCUUUAGGACAGACUUUUUUUUUGUCUCUGGUAAAAGUAAACUAAAUGGAAAAAUACUUUUUUACUGACACAAAAAAAAAAACUAAAAAGAGGCUAACCAUGAGUAAUAAUAAGUAUCCCUAUUAAAGUGAAUACUGGGUGUUCUUGUGAUAUUACUUUCCCAGCCCAGAAGGGUUUUUCUAUGUUUGUUCCUCUGUAAUAGACACUCGUUAUGCACUACUCUUUGUAUCUGGACAGUUUUCAUCAGUCAGCAUUUUUUUGCGAGAAAAACAAAACAAAAGUGUGCUUUCUGACUGACAUGAUAUUUUGCAAUACCUCAACUUUGAAAUAUAUUAGGAGAGA